rnacentral:rRNA from 1 species
AUGGAGGUGUUCGAGGGCGUGGACUUCGUGCGGCUGCGGAGCAUGCAGCACGGCGGCGCGUACGUGCACGCCGCCAAGGACGGGCGCUCCGUCCGCCUCCACCGCACCGGCCUGUCCUGGUCGUACAACGCGGUGUGGGCAGUGCAGCUGCGUAUCUCCGCCUCAGGCACGCUCUACGUCCUCCUCCGCGGCGCCUACGGCCGGUACCUCGGGGCCCCCGACGCCAGCACGCGCGGCUCCCUCUGCCCGUUCCCUCCCCCCUGCCGGGUUGCCGCGCAGCGCGACUUCGACGAGCCGGAGGUCCUCGCCAUCAUGUGGCGGGCCGUCGCCACGGGCCGCCGCGGCCGGGGCGCAUUGCUGCUGCACGACGCGUCCGGGCGCUACCUCCGCGCCAACUCGAGGUGCCUCCUGCCGUGCCGCUCCAGCGUCUCCGUCUCCUCCUGCAGCAGCCUCGGCACGGCGGUUCAGUGGGUGGUGGAGGCCGUCCCCCGGCUCCAGGCCAGGCCAUACCUCCCGAUAGCGCGUGAUUCGGAGUGGGGCAAGCUCUUCGCCCUGGUGUGCCCACCGCUGUCCCGCCUCUGGGUGCGGUGGUUCUCCUUGGAGCGGGAGAUACGGUGGGUGCGGGCCGACGACUCCGGCGCCUUCAGCGAGGACGACUGGGCCUCGAUACGGUACACCGGGAGGCACACGAUCCUGAUGAAGGGACAGGUAGUGAACCUGCUGGACCCUCCGGAGUCCGCCUCCAGCUGCACUCUCUGCGUCCGCGCCGGUCGCUACGGGGAGCCGAGCCCUCUGGCCAUCAACCUGCCUCGCAGCCGGGAGCCGUUGGACGUGGUGAUUUUCCGGGUCGGCUCAAGAGCGGAUGAUGAGCUGAUAUACCCAGAUGUGAUGGCACCGGAGAUGGCACGGGCAGCGCCAGCGGACGACGACGAACCACUGCUCUGA